rnacentral:lncRNA from 15 species
GUGGUAGUUUUCAGUUAUAAAACGUCUUUUUUAAAUCAAAAUGUAAAGUUUUCUGAGCACUGUAGUCACAGAAUAUUUCAGUUUAAGAAAAAAAUCUCCUACAGUCAGACUCAUGGAGGUUUGCACCUGACAGCAGCUUUAAACUGCAGCUCUGUGACAGACAGACAGACUGCAGCAGGUGGAGGAGGCGGCACUCCCUAGACGGAGAAGAGGAAUGGAGGGAUGGCAAAGGAGAGGAGGAGGAGGAGGAGGAGGAGGAGAAGAUUUGAAAUGCCUCGCAGCCCAGUCUUAUUAUAGAUGCAACUCAAACAUCUGCAGGCCUCCACACGCCUGAUGACACGCCCCAAUCAUCAUGGACCCUCAGCCUUCAGCAUUAAAGAGAGCAACAACGUGAAAGCAAAACGUUUUACCUGCUACAACUACUACAACACCACCUCUUCGUCAUGCAGUGUGGAACUUGAAGGAAAUGUUUGGUAGGUGAAUGUGAGCACACUUUCAUAAUUAGACAAAGUGUGCCGCCCCACUUUAGCUGGAGAAGGAAGAGAAAGCCUGUGGAGCUCAGUGGCUACAGCAUGGCACUGACACUACCAGAGCUUUGACUCCCACUGUGGCCAUCCGAGCCGAACAUUGAGGAAGUGUUGCUGCUGUGAGCCUGUGAGAUAAAAGCAUCCACCAAACAGCAUAAUGUCCAACCCAUUCAAGAUCAACGAGAUAGAUCCCAGGGUGUCUCCUGGCUGUUUGAGACAUCAGAUGGACAAAACAAGACACACCCAAACUUCUGGACAGGAAAUGCCUCCAUGUAAACAGGAAACAGAGAUUUUUUGACAGAUAUACUUAUCACAUGGUGAGACACACACAGGGUUCUGGUCAUUUCAGGGUAGAAAAUACAUUAUAAACUGUGCUUCUCAGUUUUGGGAAUAAAUAUAUUUUAAUAGUGUCUCAAAUAUGAAAUGACAUGUGCUCUAAAGUCAUUUGUUUACACGAGUCUUCCUUCCUGAAAAAUCCUCUCGGCUCUCUGUGUACACUGAGGGAAGUUCACUCUUGUACGUACGUCAAGCAGUGUUUCCUCAUGAG